rnacentral:rRNA from 1 species
UACGUAGGGUGCAAGCGUUGUCCGGAAUUAUUGGGCGUAAAGAGCUCGUAGGCGGUUUGUCGCGUCUGCUGUGAAAACUCGGGGCUUAACUCCGGGCCUGCAGUGGGUACGGGCAGACUAGAGUGCGGUAGGGGAGACUGGAAUUCCUGGUGUAGCGGUGGAAUGCGCAGAUAUCAGGAGGAACACCGAUGGCGAAGGCAGCUCGCUGGGACGGUACUGACGCUGAGGCGCGAAAGCGUGGGGAGCGAACAGG